CUUUGAAGAUAUUUGAUUGCCUGACAAUGGCCAUUUCUGUCUAUCAACACAGAUCUACAUUUGUCUCCUUUCUGGGACAUAACAAGGUGAGAUUUCUUCAAGUACAGCAAAGCAGUGGCUGCUCCACUGAAUUCAGCAAACCUCUCACACCUACAUCAAGUUUCUGGGGGCACCUGUCAGUCGUCAAAAAGUCCAGAUUCAUCAAUAAUAGCCCAUUUAGAAUUUUUUGAAGACUAUAAUUUUAUUACCAGAAUUUAUUUGCUAGCAAGUAUUUAAAAUUAUUUGCCUUUUUACUUAAGCCCAAUCAUAUAUUUGUGACUCUAUAUUUAUGCCACUGUUCUCAGGGUGUGUUAUGGAAUUCUUUCCCUGUAGUUCACUGUAGCUGUAUGCGCUGCUACUUUGAAACCUGUAGCUGUAUGGAAUCUACAGGAAUUUAUUGUUCAUGCCUCUGCCUGCUUUCUGGUAAUGUGCCCUCUUUGUCAUUUGAUACCUUUCUUCACUUGUAUUAAAAAUGUUCAGCUCUUGUAAAUCUGACCUCCUGUCUUAUAGUCUGAAAUCUACAAUUCAGUUGUAAUGCCUGCCAUAAAGGGCUCACUUUUCAGGACUGUCUCACUUGCACGUAUUGUAAUUUUUGAAAAUAGAGGCCUAAAAUAAGGUGCUUUUUUAAAUUUUGUUAAAAAUGUUUGUCACUGCGAAAGUUUUACAUGAAUGCAUCCUAUAUUUAAAAGGGUGUUACACACACACACACACAACAACAUUAGGUUCUAAUGUCCUUAUUAUUUAGAAACAAUAAGAAUGUUAUAAAGCUGCCCAGAAGUAUAGAGAAAGGAAACGUGCUAUUACAUCUGUGAUUAAAGAGGCAUGUGGCUAAUGAGUGGAAUGAACUGUCAGAGAAUGUUGAAGAGAAAGGAGUGAAGUUGUGAACUAGUGUUUGCAGCUUUGUUUUCUGGAAUCUAGAAAUUUCUGGAAGGUGAGAAGGGUAUCCCAUACAAUGUUCUAUAGAAACCUGUCUUGCUCAACUUAAUUUUUAAGUCUUCGUAGAGUUGGAUUUGCUCGGUAUUUUUCAUUCUAACUGUAAUAAACAUGAAAGCUGUU